rnacentral:rRNA from 1 species
GACGUAGGGUGCGAGCGUUGUCCGGAUUUAUUGGGCGUAAAGAGCUCGUAGGCGGCUUGUCGCGUCGAAUGUGAAAACUCGGGGCUCAACUCCGAGCUUGCAUUCGAUACGGGCAGGCUAGAGUUCGGUAGGGGAGACUGGAAUUCCUGGUGUAGCGGUGAAAUGCGCAGAUAUCAGGAGGAACACCGGUGGCGAAGGCGGGUCUCUGGGCCGAUACUGACGCUGAGGCGCGAAAGCCAGGGGAGCAAACGGG